rnacentral:rRNA from 1 species
UACGAAGGGGCUAGCGUUGCUCGGAAUCACUGGGCGUAAAGGGUGCGUAGGCGGGUCUUUAAGUCAGGGGUGAAAUCCUGGAGCUCAACUCCAGAACUGCCUUUGAUACUGAAGAUCUUGAGUUCGGGAGAGGUGAGUGGAACUGCGAGUGUAGAGGUGAAAUUCGUAGAUAUUCGCAAGAACACCAGUGGCGAAGGCGGCUCACUGGCCCGGUACUGACGCUGAGGUGCGAAAGCGUGGGGAGCAAACAGG